UGUCGGCUGCUAAGCGCGGCCGGGUUAGUAAAAGUUCAGCAACGACGUGCACGCCGAGUAUAUUGAAGUGUGUUUCGCGGUCCGAACCAUCGGGAAGAGAUAUUGUCAAAAGUGUUAUUCAUGAUUUGAUAGUGGAGGUGGUGAAAACCUCAGAAACAGACGUCGCAAAACACCGCGGCGAUUCUGUCUCAUCAAAACAAAUACCGUCCAUAGGCGCUCGAUGUCAAUGUUUAUAAUUAUAUUUAGAUUCUAUUAUUUUUUUAUUUAUUUUUUUAUUAUUUUGUGUUUAGUUACCCGUUGUUUAUUAUAAUGCAUACACAUAUUAUUAUGAGAAAGGGUAGACUAUUCCAGGAUUUCAAAACCAGAGCUAAAAGAGUGUGCCAUCAGACUGAACGGCAGGAGUGUUAAAAUAAAAUGAUUCAUCUUCCAUUUUUCAAUAAACAACAGUAACAAUCAAUCAUUUAAAACAUUUAAAAUUGUGAAUUAAUGACUGGAACAAGAACUGGCUGAGAAUUAUCAAUACCUAGGCUACCUGUAAAUCAAAGAGCUCAUCUUGCCCUGAAAUAUAGAACCAGUUCUUAGUGUCUAUAGGGAAGAUCUAAAGAAAGCUUCCACAGUUGGGAUCGAACCCGUGACCUCCUGGUCGCUAGGCGGACACCAUAUCCUUUACGCCACGGCUACCUCAGGGUUUGGGGUAACGGUACAGUUUGUCAAGACACCAAACGCAAAGCCUAUCCCAAGGCAAUGCCCCAUUUGCGUGGUAAAGGGCAAGACGACUAUGUUCCUCUGGGUAACAGACCACGUUCGCUGGGUGCAAGCGCUGACGGCAGACCCCAUGAAGCCGUUAAUGUCAGAGGCACGUGCUAAGACCGGGCGGAAAGUGAAGAAGACAAAGCCGAGGAAUUACUACUCUUGCUGGCUGUGCGACCGGUCGGUGAUUGACCGGCUGCGUCAUCUAGAACAGGAGCACAAAAUGGAGGCUGGGACAUUCAAUUUCGUUUACACAAGA